GAAAAUCUAGGUAUAUUUUUUUUCUUUCUCAUUUAGCCCUAAUGUGAUGAGUAAAUAAGGAUAUAGUAAUACAUUUUUAAGGAACAGUUGAAAAAGAAACAUGACAAUUAAAAUGGACCGGAGGAAGUAGCCUUAACUAUAAUAGAUUUCAUUGUUCCUGUUAAAACUUAUCACCAUUACAAGUACUACUAAAAGAAAAUACUUAAGCCCUUCUCAGUCUACUUAAUGAUAAUGAUGUCUCUUUCACUACCUUCCUUAUCAUCAAACAUUUUCACCUUCUUCCUAUCGUUCACACUGUUUUUUCCUUUGUCCUUUUUUUCAUCUUCUGUUUUCAUCCAACAAGUCUCGGAAGGAUUACCACUUUGACUCAACCCCUUCUUUUUCUCAAACAACUCAAGAAAGUAUUUAUCCCAUUGUUGUCUGGUCCGCCUCCUCGGAACAAAGGCCUCGCCCGAAUCCAUCUUCCAAAAUAUGCACCUGCAUCAAUCAAACAUUAAACCACAAUUUUCUUGAUUAAAAAAAAUAGAAGAAAGCCACAAACUAAACCCAACUAAUUGAAUAGUCACAUCAUGCAUAUACGUUUAUGAAAAUUACCGACUGGAUAAAAGAGAAAACCAACGAAAACUCUUCCGCAAGAGACUCGGUCAACCGGAAAAUCGAGAGAUUUAUAAAAACAGGGGAGAAAGUUUAGCGGACUAAGGAGUAAUAAAUAGACUUGAAACUACUUUUGAAUGCAUAUACACUACUAUAGAAAGAAAUAAUUAAAAGAUGAUUUUAAUUAAGGAAGAGAAAAAAGUUACCUAUCUUGUAAUCCCUUUCCUUAUUUCCCCUUCCCUUGUGUGCGAGACAGGCGGAGAGAGAGAGGGGGGUUGGGUAAGGUAAAAAUAUAUUUGGUGUUUACUAUCAGCUUAC
rnacentral:lncRNA from 1 species